CAAACUGAAGAUGGCGACCGGCGCACGGGUGAGUAACACGUAUCCAACCUACCGAUAACUCCGGAAUAGCCUUUCGAAAGAAAGAUUAAUACCGGAUGGCAUACGAAUAUCGCAUGAUAUUUUUAUUAAAGAAUUUCGGUUAUCGAUGGGGAUGCGUUCCAUUAGUUUGUUGGCGGGGUAACGGCCCACCAAGACUACGAUGGAUAGGGGUUCUGAGAGGAAGGUCCCCCACAUUGGAACUGAGACACGGUCCAAACUCCUACGGGAGGCAGCAUG
rnacentral:rRNA from 1 species